UUACUUACCUGGAUGGGGUUAAUGGGUGAUCAAAAUGACCCAUAGCCUGGGCUAGCAACUUCCAUUGCACUUAGGAAGGUUGUUGGCUCAAGGUCGGUCCAAGUGAUCGAACCUACAUCGUAAUUUGUGACAGCGGGGCCUGCGUGCGCGCGGCCCCUUC